AUCGGCGCUUCCAUUGCUUAAUUAUUAAUUAACAGUUAUUGCUGGGGAUUUUUAAUAAAACAUUCGCCCUGACUAUUGGCACUUAGAUUAGCGUUGAGGGAGUAAUGGCGCAUUUCAACAAUUUCGGUUGUUAUUUAAUUGAAGUCAAUUUAGAUGAUCAGAGUCUAUUUAGGUUGGUGCUGGCACUCGCCAACGGGAUCUCUCCUUCAUUGGGCUCAUUGGUGACUUUCAGACAACACGAAUUGCACUCGCUGAUGCACUUCUCGGCGCAUUUGCACUUGCACACGAAUAUGGGUCAGGGGAUUGCACACCUGUACCAAGGUAACGUGAACAAGGAGAAGAAAGGAAAGACUUGACCGCCUAAACCUCAACCAAUUCUAAGUGUUAAAAAUUACAGCCAUCUGUCAAGUGUAGAUUAUGACAGGAUCUAUUGUAAUGGUGUGUUUAACAAGUUUACAGUGAUGUUUGAUGUUGUGAACGUUGAAUGAGUCAUGACACCACAAAUUGCCUUCACGAAAGAUAGGACUCGGUGUAAACGAAGAAAGCGUCCGACACUCUGGGCACGCAUCGCUUCAGCCAGUACGAGGUUAUGUAAAACAAUGUUAGUAUAACAGCAAGGAAGGUGAACGCAGCGACACAUACAUUAUGUUCAAUUCCAUGUGACGUACCGCAAGUGAGACGAUCUUCGUCGUAAAUCUCUGUAUUAUUGUAUUUAUUUCAACUUUAGAUUUUCAACCUUAAGACCGUAGGUUUUAAAUCUAUUUUAGUUACAAAUUUAUAUUUGGACACAUUAAAACAUUCGGUUUUCAUUGAAGAAGCAAAUUACUCACACUGUUAUGUAACCUUUUGUUUAUAUUUAUUUAACAUAUAGAAUGGAAGAUAUUAUUAAAUAAAUAUAUGUGAUUUAA